CAUCUCUUAAAUGCAUUGGACAGACAGCACUACUAGUCCUUGAUGACUGUGAAGGGGCCGCACUGUGACAUUGUACAUCUGUCAGGAGGAGGCAGGUCCAUCAGGCACUGAAAGGACCCAGCCUGCUACUACUUGGGUUGAGGCUAUAUCUUAUUCUUCAAGUGACAAUGGUGCAGAAUACGAAGAAGAGCCACAUAGUGCCUAAAGGCCCAUGAAACACAAGGUAGCUUCUGUCUGAAGAAAAAUAGCAGCUCAUCCAACCCAACAAAGAGAGGUAAACAGCUCUCGAGGCGGGUGAGUCAGGCUACCUCAAGACCUGGUGAUGACAACAAGGACAAGUGGCACU